AUCACAUCACAUAUAUAUAUUUGUAUUAUUUCAAUCGCUGUGUUCUUGUGUCUCCUCUCCUUAAAAAACUAAAAUGGCGAUACAACUUACAGGAUUGCAAACAAGUCACGGCAGAGUCACGGUUCUAGUUUGAUCUAAGAUAUUACAAUUUAGUGUUAAUCGGUCUUAAAUACAAGGUGGAAGGCUAUAUUCUUUGAUAUUUAUACAUCAUAAUUCAGAAUUGUGCUUCCUCAGAGAUCAACGAUUUACUCCUGAGACUCCUAAGGCUUGAGCGUUGCAUAGGAAUGGUAACAGCUAUAGAUUAAGGUGGAUGAAUCAUCUCAGCCCUGAUUUGAAAGGGGAAAUUUUACUACUGACGAAGAUCAGAUAAUUAUCCGUCAUCAAGCUCUUAAUGGCAACCGUCGAAAUGGAGAAAGAGAGAUAAUGAGGUCAGCUGAGAGAAUGAAAGUGGCAAAGGAGCAUGGACUUUUGAAGAAGAUAGCAAGUUGGUGUCUUAAGUCCAAGAACAUGGUACAUGCAAUUGGACAGUCGUUCCUAAAAUUGCUGAGAACAUGGGAAUGUGCAAACUUGGCGACAACGCUGGGCCAUGUUGUUGUUGCCAAGGAUGAUGAAAAACUUGCUACUUGUUGUCGAGGAUUUGGUGCUGAUGUUAUAAUGACAUCCGAAUCAUGUCGAAAUGGGGAUAAAAGUUGACCACAAUGCCAUGGUGUUGACAGCCAAGAAGAUGUUGAAAAAAUUGAACGUUAUACGCGUGGGAGAAAUUUGUCUUCGUCCUGCAGGGUACAAGCAGUUUAUAGAAGAAGACCUGGAAUAUAGUCUUGGAAGGAGGAUGUUUUUUCCAAUGUCUGGUUUUGUCGGCAGAAGUUCUUGAAACGAGCUCAGACUGCAUUGAUUCUUCAAUCCGUGUUGAAGCAUCUUUGUAAUUCGAAAGAUGGUUAUAUUCUUCGUUUUAAUGUAGUAUUUUAUGAUGGUAAAUUUCUUCUCCUUAUGAAAUUGUGAUAUUUUCUUGGUUAUAUUGUUUAUAGUUGUUUGAUAAUUUUGCUUUUUAUUAUCCAAAAAACUUGGAUACCGGUAUAUUUAUUCCUGAUUUCUUUUUUC